AGAGUUUGAUCAUGGCUCAGAUUGAACGCUGGCGGCAGGCCUAACACAUGCAAGUCGAGCGGUAGCACAGAGAGCUUGCUCUCGGGUGACGAGCGGCGGACGGGUGAGUAAUGUCUGGGAAACUGCCUGAUGGAGGGGGAUAACUACUGGAAACGGUAGCUAAUACCGCAUAAUGUCGCAAGACCAAAGUGGGGGACCUUCGGGCCUCAUGCCAUCAGAUGUGCCCAGAUGGGAUUAGCUAGUAGGUGGGGUAACGGCUCACCUAGGCGACGAUCCCUAGCUGGUCUGAGAGGAUGACCAGCCACACUGGAACUGAGACACGGUCCAGACUCCUACGGGAGGCAGCAGUGGGGAAUAUUGCACAAUGGGCGCAAGCCUGAUGCAGCCAUGCCGCGUGUGUGAAGAAGGCCUUCGGGUUGUAAAGCACUUUCAGCGGGGAGGAAGGCGGUGAGAUUAAUAACCUCAUCGAUUGACGUUACCCGCAGAAGAAGCACCGGCUAACUCCGUGCCAGCAGCCGCGGUAAUACGGAGGGUGCAAGCGUUAAUCGGAAUUACUGGGCGUAAAGCGCACGCAGGCGGUCUGUCAAGUCGGAUGUGAAAUCCCCGGGCUCAACCUGGGAACUGCAUUCGAAACUGGCAGGCUAGAGUCUUGUAGAGGGGGGUAGAAUUCCAGGUGUAGCGGUGAAAUGCGUAGAGAUCUGGAGGAAUACCGGUGGCGAAGGCGGCCCCCUGGACAAAGACUGACGCUCAGGUGCGAAAGCGUGGGGAGCAAACAGGAUUAGAUACCCUGGUAGUCCACGCCGUAAACGAUGUCGAUUUGGAGGUUGUGCCCUUGAGGCGUGGCUUCCGGAGCUAACGCGUUAAAUCGACCGCCUGGGGAGUACGGCCGCAAGGUUAAAACUCAAAUGAAUUGACGGGGGCCCGCACAAGCGGUGGAGCAUGUGGUUUAAUUCGAUGCAACGCGAAGAACCUUACCUGGUCUUGACAUCCACAGAACUUUCCAGAGAUGGAUUGGUGCCUUCGGGAACUGUGAGACAGGUGCUGCAUGGCUGUCGUCAGCUCGUGUUGUGAAAUGUUGGGUUAAGUCCCGCAACGAGCGCAACCCUUAUCCUUUGUUGCCAGCGGUUCGGCCGGGAACUCAAAGGAGACUGCCAGUGAUAAACUGGAGGAAGGUGGGGAUGACGUCAAGUCAUCAUGGCCCUUACGACCAGGGCUACACACGUGCUACAAUGGCAUAUACAAAGAGAAGCGACCUCGCGAGAGCAAGCGGACCUCAUAAAGUAUGUCGUAGUCCGGAUUGGAGUCUGCAACUCGACUCCAUGAAGUCGGAAUCGCUAGUAAUCGUAGAUCAGAAUGCUACGGUGAAUACGUUCCCGGGCCUUGUACACACCGCCCGUCACACCAUGGGAGUGGGUUGCAAAAGAAGUAGGUAGCUUAACCUUCGGGAGGGCGCUUACCACUUUGUGAUUCAUGACUGGGGUGAAGUCGUAACAAGGUAACCGUAGGGGAACCUGCGGUUGGAUCACCU
rnacentral:rRNA from 1 species